GACGAACGCUGGCGGCGUGCUUAACACAUGCAAGUCGUACGAUGGCCCGGCUCUUCGGCGCUGGUGAUUAUUGGCGCACGGGUGAGUGACACGUGGGUGACCUGCACUGCACUCUGGGAUAAGCCCGCGGAACUGGGUCUAAUACUGGAUACGAUCAGUGGCCGCGUGGUCUGCUGGUGGGAAGCACGUCGUGGUGGUGUGGGAUGGGCGCGCGGCCUAUGAGUUUGUUGGUGGGGUGAUCGCCGACCAAGGAGGCGAGCGGUGGCUAGCCUGAGAGGGUGUCCGGCCACACUGGGACUGAGACACGACUCAGACUCCUAGGGGCAGCAGCGGUGGUGAAUCUAUGGCAGUGGGCGAGAGCCUGCUGCAGCGACGCCGUGUGGGAGAUGACGGGCUUCGGAUUCUCAACCUCUUGCGGCAGGGAACAGGCCUGGGGGUUUUCUUCUGGGUGACGGUACCUGCGGAAGAAGCACCGGCUAACUACGUG
rnacentral:rRNA from 1 species